GAUGAACGCUGGCGGCGUGCCUAAUACAUGCAAGUCGAGCGGACGGACGAGAAGCUUGCUUCUCUGAGGUUAGCGGCGGACGGGUGAGUAACACGUGGAUAACCUACCUAUAAUACGGGGAUAACUUCGGGAAACCGGAUCUAAUACCGGAUAAUAUUUUGAACCGCAUGGUUCAAAGGUGAAAGACGGUCUUGCUGUCACUUAUAGAUGGAUCCGCGCUGCAUUAGCUAGUUGGUAAGGUAACGGCUUACCAAGGCAACGAUGCAUAGCCGACCUGAGAGGGUGAUCGGCCACACUGGAACUGAGACACGGUCCAGACUCCUACGGGAGGCAGCAGUAGGGAAUCUUCGGCAAUGGGCGAAAGCCUGACGCAGCAACGCCGCGUGAGUGAUGAAGGUCUUCGGAUCGUAAAACUCUGUUAUUAGGGAAGAACAUAUGUGUAAGUAACUGUGCACAUCUUGACGGUACCUAAUCAGAAAGCCACGGCUAACUACGUG
rnacentral:rRNA from 1 species